rnacentral:rRNA from 1 species
UACAGAGGGGGCAAGCGUUAUUCGGAAUUAUUGGGCGUAAAGGGCGCGUAGGCGGCCUGGCAAGUGGAAGGUGAAAUCCCUCGGCUUAACCGAGGAACUGCCCUCCAAACUGCUUGGCUUGAGUCCGGGAGAGGUGAGUGGAAUUCCCAGUGUAGCGGUGAAAUGCGUAGAUAUUGGGAAGAACACCGGUGGCGAAGGCGGCGACCUGGUCCGACACUGACGCUGAGGCGCGAAAGCGUGGGGAGCAAACAGG